CCGUAGUACCCAAUUCUUUCACAGAAAGACUGAUAAGAGAGCCAUCUGUAAGAUCGCUCUGCUCUUUUGCCGGUCUAAUCAUAGCGGACAUAACUUCAUUAUAGUUAGACCAAACAACUUUUCCUGAUGAAUCCAUAGUAACAGAAGGCUCGUCACGGCCAAGAGAGAAAGUUAUGAGUCCAUUGUCAAAACCGACUGUUACCAAGCCAUUGUCCUUAUUCUGCGCAAUGCACCAAGCUCGAUCUAAAGAAAAAUUAUACGAUUUAAUGAGAGAAUAGGAAAGCGUAUGCCAAAUUUUUACUGUGCCGUCCUCACUACCAGAGAUGAUUAUAGGAAAUUUAGAAUGGAAAAAUGCAAAA